CUCCACUGUUGCGCCUGUCGGCGGCGCCCUGGCGCAGGGGCGGCGCCUCUGGCCGUCAGUAGCAGCCCCGGCCCACAGUCGCCGACGCCGCCGUGCAGUGCCUGCCGCCAUUCUUCCACCGCUCAGGCCACCAAGCGACGUGAACAUGAGUGACGCAGAGGGAGCAAACAAGUGUUCAAACUGCCCGACGGGCUACUACGGCAAGGAGUUCACCACGUGCGGCAUCAUCCUGGCCGUCUGCUUCUUCCCGCUGGGCAUCAUCUGCUGCUGGAUGAUGCGCGAGGACAAGUGCACGGCGUGUGGCCACACGCGGUAGGCCGACGGCGGAUGAGACCGGAGGGGCGGCCCAGCCGGGCGCUGGCCACAGCGCGGUGGCGGCGGCGGGCGGCGCGCCCGGCCCGUCGGCGCUGCUACGCACGCGCGCUUUGCGGCCAGAUGAGGGUGGUAGGGCGGGGAGGUAGACCGCCGGAGCGCGGGCGUCGCUCGGCCGCCGCCCGCGCGACCCGUCAGCCGCCCGCCGGUCGUGUCUAGCCUGCGCUUUGUCCCGUUCGUCAGUGUGCAUUCCGAACAGUCAAGUCGCAACAGGGUGCAUAGUGGCUAUACCGGCAUCGGCGGAGCGUUACCACUACGUCACCGCAACAGGUGGCGCACUGGCUAGACGUGGCUAUACGAGAGUUGCUUGUGGCAGUGAGCGCUUGUUCCGAGAGGCGCUUCAAAAAUGUGGCACGCGCGCUGGAUCUGCAGCGCGGAAACGCAACAGAGCGCUGAAUCAGUACCUCGAAGAGACACCGCUGCCAGAGUCGUCCCGCGCACUCCGCACCGUAUGGUUUUCUACGCCGCGAGGAUCCGUUUUUGUACACCGCGUGCAUCCGCGCCGGUCCGGCCGAAGCGAAAAGUCAGGCUCAUCGCCAUCGAACGUGUUUUGUAUCCGCUACUGCUUGACCGAGCACGUAAUCGCAUAGCCGUUAUUAAACGACCGUGUACGUGUUC